CACCCUUUAAUGUUUGAUGUUCUAACGUUGGCCCGUAAUCCGGGUUGCGGACAGUGUCUGGUGGGUAGUUUGACUGGGGCGGUCUCCUCCUAAAGAGUAACGGAGGAGCACGAAGGUUGGCUAAUCCUGGUCGGACAUCAGGAGGUUAGUGCAAUGGCAUAAGCCAGCUUGACUGCGAGCGUGACGGCGCGAGCAGGUGCGAAAGCAGGUCAUAGUGAUCCGGUGGUUCUGAAUGGAAGGGCCAUCGCUCAACGGAUAAAAGGUACUCCGGGGAUAACAGGCUGAUACCGCCCAAGAGUUCAUAUCGACGGCGGUGUUUGGCACCUCGAUGUCGGCUCAUCACAUCCUGGGGCUGAAGUAGGUCCCAAGGGUAUGGCUGUUCGCCAUUUAAAGUGGUACGCGAGCUGGGUUUAGAACGUCGUGAGACAGUUCGGUCCCUAUCUGCCGUGGGCGCUGGAGAACUGAGGGGGGCUGCUCCUAGUACGAGAGGACCGGAGUGGACGCAUCACUGGUGUUCGGGUUGUCAUGCCAAUGGCACUGCCCGGUAGCUAAAUGCGGAAGAGAUAAGUGCUGAAAGCAUCUAAGCACGAAACUUGCCCCGAGAUGAGUUCUCCCUGAGACUUAGAGUCUCCUGAAGGAACGUUGAAGACGACGACGUUGAUAGGCCGGGUGUGUAAGCGCAGCGAUGCGUUGAGCUAACCGGUACUAAUGAACCGUGAGGCUUAACCUU
rnacentral:rRNA from 1 species